rnacentral:rRNA from 1 species
GAUGAACGCUGGCGGCGUGCCUAAUACAUGCAAGUCGAGCGAACAGACGAGGAGCUUGCUCCUUUGACGUUAGCGGCGGACGGGUGAGUAACACGUGGGUAACCUACCUAUAAGACUGGGAUAACUUCGGGAAACCGGAGCUAAUACCGGAUAAUAUUUCGAACCGCAUGGUUCGAUAGUGAAAGAUGGCUUUGCUAUCACUUAUAGAUGGACCUGCGCCGUAUUAGCUAGUUGGUAAGGUAACGGCUUACCAAGGCAACGAUACGUAGCCGACCUGAGAGGGUGAUCGGCCACACUGGUACUGAGACACGGUCCAGACUCCUACGGGAGGCAGCAGUAGGGAAUCUUCCGCAAUGGGCGAAAGCCUGACGGAGCAACGCCGCGUGAGUGAUGAAGGUCUUCGGAUCGUAAAACUCUGUUAUUAGGGAAGAACAAACGUGUAAGUAACUGUGCACGUCUUGACGGUACCUAAUCAGAAAGCCACGGCUAACUACGUG